GAGAGAAUGAAUUGUCUGAGCUUCCCCAUCCUCCUCCCAACCUUAUGCAUGAGCCAGCAACUCCCUUCCACCAGAGGUGAGCACCAAGAGAAGAAGUUUCCUUCGGGGAGACAUUUGCAAAUUCUCCAUGAUUUUCCAUCAAGCCAACCUGCACUGCAACUCAUCAUUCCUUGCAGCAAAGAAUUCCAAGGCAAAUGCAAGAACUUUUAGUCGGUCACCACAGCGGUGGUUUCCUAAAUGCCAGCUACACUUAGAAACCCUCGGAACACAUUCUAUAUAAUAUUGUCUGGUUUCAUGUGUAGGUUUUAUUCUGGAACAAAGCACCAGAGGUCAGAUCAGAUAUUAAACUGGAACUGCACCUGAUCUUAGGCAAGAAGCCACCAUCUCCAAAAUGCCUGAUGUGUAACUGAACAUUUUGCGGGUCAGUCAUCGCUGAUAGUGGAAGAUCCCAAUGUCAACAGCCAGAUUUGGAUUCAAGCUCUCACAGAGUACAGGAGAUAGGGUUACCCCCUGGGCACCUCCUCUGCUAAUUCCAGACUUUAAAAAAAAACA